rnacentral:rRNA from 1 species
CCUACGGGUGGCAGCAGUGAGGAAUAUUGGUCAAUGGGCGGGAGUCUGAACCAGCCAAGCCGCGUGAAGGAAGACUGCACUAUGUGUCGUAAACUUCUUUUAUAUGGGAAUAAAACAGGGGAUUCAUACCCUCUUGUGUGUACCAUAUGAAUAAGCAUCGGCUAACUCCGUGCCAGCAGCCGCGGUAAUACGGAGGAUCCGAGCGUUAUCCGGAUUUAUUGGGUUUAAAGGGUGCGUAGGGGGUUGGUUAAGUCAGUUGUGAAAGGCUGCGGCGCAACCGCAAAAGUGCAGUUGAAACUGGCGGUCUUGAGUUGAGUAGAGGUGGGCGGAAUGCGCGGUGUAGCGGUGAAAUGCUUAGAUAGCACGAAGAACCCCGAUUGCGAAGGCAGCUUACCGG